UUUCAUUUUUUUUAUUUUUUAAGAGAAUGUUUUUGGUGUAAUUCAACGUAUUAAUAUAAUAUGCAACGAUUUUGAGGGAGUUAUGAUGUGUUGUUUUACUUUGAUCCGUGGAUUUUUUGAGACUGAUUUGAUAUUUGUGUAUAUAUAUCUCUAUUGAUGAUGUUGGUCAGCGUUUAAUGUUAAUUGGUCCGUAGUUUCGUGUUUUUUUUGAUGAAUUGUUGUAGUUAUAAUCUACAGGAGGACAGUAAUAUAAGGGCUAUCAAUUAUAAAUGGGAAUUUGGCGUGCUGACUUAAAAAGUAUUAUGUGUCUUAGAUGUAUCAGUUGAAUGGCCGUCGAGUUCCUGGGUAAUUCUAAUAAUCUUUCUCAUAUGAUCUGUUUUUAGUACAUGUCAUGCUGAGUUGAAGACUUGAUUAAAAAGCUACCUUUUUGAAAAAUUUAGUAGAUACCAUGGGAGUAUGCUUAGUACUUGUAAGUAGGGAUAGUUUGACUAAGGGCUCGUAUGCAUGGUUUUUUGCUGCUUCUUUUUAUAUACAAGCUUUUUGAGAAAGCUAACUUAAUUAAUGUUUAGCUCUAUUGCACGAACACUUCAAUUAGGG
rnacentral:lncRNA from 1 species